AAGUUCUUCAAUAUAACAUCAGACAAAAUUUUAAAAUUUGAAAAACUUUCUUCUCCUUUCUCCCAAAAGUUCUUCAAUAGUACAAUAGUAAAAUGCCUUUCUAUCCUACGGAUUCACGAGACUCUACCCCACUCCAGCACCAACAACCUCCAAUUUGCCAUGAAUAUGUACCCAUAAAUGACCAUGGAUCAAUGGUUGGCCUAACCCCGCAAUCACCCCAACGCAAUCAAAAAGAAUCCAUCAAUGACAUAUCUACCCCAAACAAUAUUUUUCAACAACCGAACUUUUUAAUUUUUUUUCUGGGAAAACCCCCAAAACAUAUGGAUCUGUUGCUGCUGUUGUUGGGGCUACCGCUGAACCUUUUCAAAAAUAGCGCAAUCGCCCAAGGAAAUUAGUUGUUAUCAAAUUUGAUGUUGAUGGUAAUAUUGGUGUUGCUGAGCCAUCUCAGAAAAAGAGGGGUCAUCCAAGGAAAUCUAUUGUUGAUGGCACUGGUGUUACUGGUGCUACUUCUUCAAAAAAUCCCCCCAAAAAGGUCAGUGGGAGGACCUCAUGCUCCAAAAAGAAGCAACAAUAGCCAGAAGAUUCAGGAGGUGGAUCUAUGAAUCACAUAAUCCAUGUGGACAUUGGACAGGACAUUGUAUCUGAGAUAUUUACUUUCUUAGAGCAAGAACGAUCUGCAGUUUGUGUUCUAUCUUGAGUUGGAGUCUUAGGUAAAGUCACCCUUCGGCAGUCUGCAACCACUGGUGGCACUAUGACACAUGAGGCCGGUAUGGGUUUUAGCUCAAAGGCAUUUACCCUUUCAGUUGCCUUUGUGUUGAGGCAUGUCCGGAAGCUUAUGCAGAAAGGCUAUUGCUUUGGAUAACUUUAAUUACUGGACUUAUUUGGAUAGUUGUGGAAUUGCUCAUUUAUAAUGAUGUCAUUCUUCUAUGCAGGGUCAAUUCGAUAUCAUCUCGUUAUCAGGGUCUUUUAUGCGAUUAAAAAGUGGCGUAAUAGGUUUUCUUAACCUAUCAGUGACUAGUCCAGAUGGUAGUGAUUACGGUGUUGUUCUUGCAGGAAAGCUCAAGGCUGUCACUCCGGUGGCUUUGAGAUGCUUCAGUCCGUACGUGGAAAAACCUGAGUCGAAGGCUCCAUCUUCAACUCCACCCCCAAUUUUCUGAAUUUUGGACCUCCAGUUACAAAUGCGACCUCUAGUUCCCAAUUGCCUCAACCAAUGUACGAGGGCCAAGCAAUGUGAAAGUUAUGAACUCCAACUUAGAGCAAAAAAUUGCCAAUCAAGGGUGUGUUUUGUGCAGAGGAUAAUGUUUUCCAGUUUUAUUUAUUUGCAACUUUCUUCUAGACUAGCUCUUUAUGCAAUUAAUCCUUCUAGGUCAUAGUAGAGCAUGCGGAAAUGUGUUUACUUUUGUUUGCUACAAAAACGUGUUUCUAAACAUAGUGCAAUUUGAACCUUUGAUUUCAUAAUUCAUCCGAACUUCAUUGACCAUUAUGUCACUCCCUUGAGUUCAAUAAAGUUCUACUCUUAUCUUGUUGCCUGAA